CGGGUGAGUAAUGCGUGACCAACCUGCCCCAUGCUCCAGAAUAGCUCUUGGAAACGGGUGGUAAUGCUGGAUGCUCCAACUUGACGCAUGUCUUGUUGGGAAAGUGUUUAGUGGCAUGGGAUGGGGUCGCGUCCUAUCAGCUUGUAGGCGGGGUAAUGGCCCACCUAGGCUUCGACGGGUAGCCGGCCUGAGAGGGCGGACGGCCACAUUGGGACUGAGAUACGGCCCAGACUCCUACGGGAGGCAGCAGG
rnacentral:rRNA from 1 species